GUGUUGCAUGAAAGGAAAGAAGGUGAGCACUCCCCUUGACAAGGAUAGUAGAGCCCUCAGGCCUAACAAGUCUGACGGCAAGGCACCACAGCUACCCUGCCCAAUUUCCU
rnacentral:ncRNA from 1 species